AGUGGCAUGGCCGGGUAGCUAAGUUCGGACGGGAUAACCGCUGAAAGCAUCUAAGCGGGAAGCCUCCCUCAAGAUGAGUUUUCCCAUGAAGCCCGUUGAAGACUACGACGUUGAUAGGCAAGGUGUGGAAGCGCAGUAAUGCGUGAAGCUAACUUGUACUAAUUGGCUGAUUGUCUUGACCAUAUAAUCUGAG
rnacentral:rRNA from 1 species